CAAAACUCAGGAGAGACCUGUAAAACAGGCGCCGAAGGUGUAUGAAUCACUCAGGCAAAAGGAUGGAGGUAA
rnacentral:ncRNA from 1 species